GAGCACACCCGCAAGUCUUCCUGUUUCGGGAAAGUCGCUGUGUGGGCCGAAGCGCUUCGUGUUUGCAGAAUAUUCUCCACGUAUUUACAAGACAGGACUCCAGUGAAGCGACACAGCUCUUACAGUCUGUUCUUAGAGGUGCGAUGAUGAACUGUUGUGGUCUGCUAACAUUCGAGAAAGAACCAGUUCCUCUAAAGAGCAUUGAGGUGGAGCUGGAGGUGAGGGACCAUGUGGCUACAGUGGUCUCCACUCUGAACUACGAGAACAAGGAGGACAAACCAUUAGAGGCUGUUUUUGUCUUCCCUCUGCCUGGAGAUGCUGCUGUCUGUCAUUUCAGCGCUCAGGUUGGACAGACACAGAUUGU